UCUCCCCUCUCCCAACUUCUCACUCUCUCGCCACUCCCUCCGCCGGCGGUCUUGGCGUCGCCGGCGAGCGACGCCGGCCGCCGGUCAUCUCUCUCCUCUCCCCUCUCUCUCUCUCGGCCCCUCUCUCUCUCUCGGCCUCUCUCUCCGCCACGACGAACCACCGCCUCUGCCGCCGCUGCCGGGCCGCUGCUGCCGUCGCCGGUGGUUACACGGCGGUUUCACCGCCGUUGACCGAGAGAUUUGGAUAGAUCGUGAAAAAUGGGGUCGAAAGAGGUUAAUUUCGUCACGAAUCGCCGGAAAACUGCCGCUGCCGCCGCUGGUCUGCCGCCGCCGCCGGUCUGGCAGUCCCUUCGCUCACGAGGUAUCGGGGUUCAAGAUGUGGCUAUUGCGCAAGAUCCGGAGGGCAUGGAGAGUAUUUUAUUUUUAAUUAAUAUUUACUUAAACGUUGAACUCGUGUACGGACUUUUAUUUGAAACUCGGUCUUCACAAACGGACUUUUAUUUGA